rnacentral:lncRNA from 1 species
ACAAACAGAACGAAACAUUUUUAUAAAAAAAAGUUCAUCACAAAUUGUGAGCGGAAGAAAGGAAUACAAUCGACUUAGGUACAUAUUACAAUUAGUAGCAAUAUAUUAUCCGAAAUAUCGAAAGAACUCUAGCAUUGUGUGCAAAGAGAAAAUCAGAUUGAAGACUUUGAAUAACCAACAAGGAGUCACACUCAGAAAUAACAAAUCUCAUAACCGUCAGCUUCGGCAAAUGGGAGUCCUUCCCGCAAGGCCAAAGCCUCCACAACAUCCACGGGACAACAAUAGCCAGUAGAAACCUCAUUCGGAGGGAAUUGAUCCCAAUGCAAUAGCUCACCACUAGUUCAUGCUGUUUAGUUUUAAUUUGUCGUGUGGCUUACACAUGCAAUUAAGUAUAUAUUAAAGGUUAUCUUAAAGUUAAGUCCGUUUAAAAAUCAGAAUGAUAAUAUAAUUUUUAAUACUAAAUAAUAGUAUUAUAAAAUUCAAUUAAUUAUAUACCCACACUUUAAACCCUAAAAUUCAUUUCCUUCAUCAUUUUCAAUCAAUUCUCACUCUCUCUACUAUACCUCUCCUUCUCUC